GACGAACGCUGGCGGCGUGCUUAACACAUGCAAGUCGAACGAAGAGCGAUGGAUUCUUGCUUCUAUUAAUCUUAGUGGCGAACGGGUGAGUCACGCGUAAUCAACCUGCCCUUCAGGGGGGGACAACAGUUGGAAACGCUGGCUAAUACCACAUCCGACUUAUUCUCGGCAUGGAGGAGAGAUGAAAGGUGGCCUCUACAUGUAAUCUAUCACUUCAGGAGGUGUUUGCGUCUGAUUAGCUAGUUGGCGGGGUAACGGCCCACCAAGGCGUGGAUAAGUAGCCGGGCGGAGAGGAUGAACGGCCACAUUGGGACUGAGACACGGCCCAGACGCCUACGGGAGGCAGCAGUGGGGAAUCUUCCGCAAGGGACGAAAGACUGACGGAGCAACGCCGCGGGAGGGAUGACGGCCGUCGGGUUGGAAAGCUCGGUUAAUCGGGACGAAAGGCCUUCUUGCGAAUAGGGAGAAGGAUUGACGGUACCGGAAUAGAAAGCCACGGCUAACUACGUG
rnacentral:rRNA from 1 species